rnacentral:misc_RNA from 1 species
AACGCACAUUGCGCCCGCCAGUAUUCUGGCGGGCAUGCCUGUUCGAGCGUCAUUUCAACCAUCAAGCCCCGGGCUUGUGUUGGGGACCUGCGGCUGCCGCAGGCCCUGAAAAGCAGUGGCGGGCUCGCUGUCACACCGAGCGUAGUAGCAUAUAUCUCGCUCUGGGCGUGCUGCGGGUUCCGGCCGUUAAACCACCUUUUAACCCAAGGUUGACCUCGGAUCAGGUAGGAAGACCCGCUGAACUUAA